AUUUACUUCCUUAGUGAAAGGUGGUGUUUGUUUUAUCACCAUGCACUCAGGAUUUGAUCAGGCCUGUCUAAGUCCCUAUACAUUGGAAAUCGCAUACUUUUAGCACAGGAAGUAGUAAUUCAAGAAAUACAGGGGUAUCUUAACAUAUCUUAUUGCCAAGUGGUGUGGCGGUGCAGAUUUUUUUGGGGGAAAAGAAUGCAGGGUCCCCCUAACUGCUUGUGCAUUGAUUAAGAUUAGAAGCAUGCUUACAUCAAGUGGACAUCACUCAGAGUUAAAAUUGCCUAACUUGGAUUUACUUCUAUUCCAUUAACUUGCACGAGGACUGAAGUGACCUAGAGUUGAUCUUGUAUAAAGAAAUGGUUAGUCAUCAAAGAAAAAAAAAUAUAUAUGCACAUUUAUCACAAGUGCCAGAUAGAAAUCUUCAUAGUAAAAUCUUGUCCAGCUUUUCCAUUAUAUCAAGUCAGUUUUUUUUUCAUUUUUCCACACUACUAUUAUGGGAUAAGAUAAAAGAAGUUCAAAUUGAAUUUAUAUGAUUAUCUCACAGUAUACGUACUUUAUUAUACACAUUUCAUUUUCUAGUUUAUUGCACAAUGAUUUUAGACUUCAUGACAUAUAAAUUAAGGCUUGAACUCUACGUUUCACAUAGUACAAAUGCAUAUAAAAUAUUCAUAUCAUGUAAAAUGUUUUCAUGUUUUGCUUUCAUAUACUGAAGUGUGUCAAAAUUAAUUAUGAACAUAAUCUCUCCCUUGGUGCCUCUGUGGACCCUAUAACAUUUUGGUUCUUAGUCAAAUAUACAUAGAAAUUUCCAAAGCUUGCAAAAGAGCUGCCCUUCACUUGUUAAAUCGAGACAUAGUCUCACAAAAUUGUGGUCUCCUGUACUGUGCUGUCAAAGGGGGUGGGGCUAUUCCCACCAGAGGUAUGUCACUGAAUUUUCUUCAACGGUCUUCAACGGUCAGCAGUCAGUGGACAAA